UCCCUGUUGACUCAGACGGUAAAGAAUCUGCCUUCAAUGCAGGAGACCCAGGUUCAAUCCCUGGGUUGGGAG
rnacentral:tRNA from 1 species